UGGUGUGAGAGGUUGAAGCUGCCAGCAUGAUCUGGUCCAUGAGUUGCACCGCUGAAUUGAAUUCAGCCAGGAGAUGCUACUGCAGUUCUCUCGAUCUGCAUUUGUUGUUCUCUGAGCUAUGUAUGGAUUUGAUCGGUUUGAACUUUGAAGGCAUCCAUGUCUUUCAUCGAUCAGAUCAUGUUGCAGCUUCACUCUCUCACUAC
rnacentral:pre_miRNA from 1 species